AACUCAUGAUUUGGAAAUUUUCUCAUCAUCACCUUGAUUCUCUCCCAUGUCUCACAGAAGGCUUCAUCCGCUCCUUGUUUGAACAUAGAAAUAUCUGAAUUU
rnacentral:snoRNA from 1 species